GACGAACGCUGGCGGCGUGCUUAACACAUGCAAGUCGAACGGUGAAGCUCCAGCUUGCUGGAGUGGAUCAGUGGCGAACGGGUGAGUAACACGUGAGCAACCUGCCCCAGACUCUGGAAUAAGCGCUGGAAACGGCGUCUAAUACUGGAUACGAGAUCAAGCCGCAUGGUUAUGGUCUGGAAAGUUUUGCGGUUUGGGAUGGGCUCGCGGCCUAUCAGCUUGUUGGUGAGGUAAUGGCUCACCAAGGCGACGACGGGUAGCCGGCCUGAGAGGGCGACCGGCCACACUGGGACUGAGACACGGCCCAGACUCCUACGGGAGGCAGCAGUGGGGAAUAUUGCACAAUGGGCGAAAGCCUGAUGCAGCGACGCCGCGUGAGGGAUGACGGCCUUCGGGUUGUAAACCUCUUUCAGCAGGGAAGAAGCGAAAGUGACGGUACCUGCAGAAGAAGCACCGGCUAACUACGUG
rnacentral:rRNA from 1 species